rnacentral:rRNA from 1 species
CCUACGGGUGGCAGCAGUGAGGAAUAUUGGUCAAUGGGCGGAAGCCUGAACCAGCCAAGUCGCGUGCAGGAUGACGGCCCUACGGGUUGUAAACUGCUUUUAUACGGGAAUAACGCGCCUUACGCGUACGGCUUUGCAUGUACCGUAUGAAUAAGGACCGGCUAAUUCCGUGCCAGCAGCCGCGGUAAUACGGAGGGUCCGGGCGUUAUCCGGAUUUAUUGGGUUUAAAGGGAGCGUAGGCCGCAUGUCAAGCGUGCCGUGAAAUUUCCGGGCUCAACCCGGGCCUUGCAGCGCAAACUGGCGUGCUGGAGUCCGCGGAAAGCAGGCGGAAUGCGUCGUGUAGCGGUGAAAUGCUUAGAUAUGACGAAGAACCCCGAUUGCGAAGGCAGCUUGCUGCAGCGCAACUGACGCUGAUGCACGAAAGCGCGGGUAUCGAACAGGAUUAGAUACCCUAGUAGUC